CGAAAAUGAAUUAAUUUGGUGAUUGACUGUUGUGUCCAAGGUGUGUGGCUUGAAGACAUGGUCUCCAACCUUCUUGAAAUCUUCGAAACACUCAUUUCUCUUCUGCUUCUUCGUUCUUAUUCAAUUUCGUUUUCUCUUCGUCAAAGCCGUAAACCCUAGGGAAAAGGGGAAGUGUGUUGGUGCGGCUAGGGGAGGGAAGAGCAUCAGGUAGGAAUGGUUUAGGCGAGUGAAUGAGAGUAAUGGAGGGAGUAUCUCGUUUUGGUGGCGCGAGAGAGAAGGAGAAAGGGAAUCCGAUGAUGGUGAGCGGGGGUUUAGGGUUGGUUUGGGGUUCAUUGUGAAGGCUAUUCGAGGAAUUUGGGAAUGUUGGAGAAGGACACGAAGAAAAGAGAAAUUGUGAGAAGCAGCGAGUGAAUUGAAGUGACAAGGAGAGAAUGAGUGGGUCGCGAGAGGCUAAGAAGAGAAAAGAGACGCAUUCAGGCACUUGUUCCAAGUAUGAAGUGACAAGUCACGACGUACCCAUAUGCUGAUUGCCAAAGUUGAUAUGUUAUUGUUGUAUUGUAUGAGAUUGAAUUGGGUAUGCCGUAGUCUUUUAUUUUUUAAAUGUGUGGCUGACCAAGCAACUUAUGUUAAUAUGGGGACUGUGAGAUGUGUCUUUUGUGUCUUCACUCAAUCAGAAAUCAAAAACUGUAAUGAAUUUCCUUAAAUUGUUUUCAAACAAUAUGGAAUUGGUUGAGGUUGAUCAAAGACAUAUGGAAUUAUCAGCCUUUUCGGUUGGAGGACUCACCCAACCUAAGACUAUGAAGCUGUAGGGGAGAGUGGGGAGAGGACCGUGUUGAUACUCAUAGAUAGUGGCGCUGUAAGACCCAAAAAUAAAUUAAUACUAUAAGAUAAUUUAUUUUGCAACUAAUAUUUAGUUAGUAAGAAUUUCUUAUUUUUUUGUGAUG
rnacentral:sRNA from 1 species